rnacentral:lncRNA from 1 species
UUCGUCCCGAGGGUUGGCUCCUCUGCUCCAUCCCAUCACCCCUUCAAAGCCUGCAAAGAGAGCAAAAAAGAAACGAAAGUAGCAGCCAUAACAGAGGCUGAAACAGUGAUAGAACAGUAGCAAGGACAAGAGCAUACAGAGAGCAGAACCUAGACAUAAAUGGUAACGAGGAAUAAUAUUGUAUUGUUAUUUUUCGGCUAUAAAGUCACUGAAAAACGGAUGUAAAAAAGGGGGGAUUCAAAAAAUAUACGAAAAUCAAUCAAAAACGAAAAUUUCAAAAGGUUAUCUUUUGCUCUUAGUUUGGUUUCAAUUUCUGUUUUCAUAUUUUUUUUCUUUUUAUUAUUACAAUCGGAAAUCAAAAAGAAAAAGGGAGGGAAUACCCUUACCGUUGAUUUUUUUUCCGGCCGCCAUCGUUGGUGUCGCACAACGGAGCAGCUGCAAGGAUGGGCUAACUCUUUUGCCCUAGCAAAGAAAGAUUGAAAACCUAUUUUGCUUCUUUUGAUUUCAGCGCAAGCUAGGCUUUGAAAACCUAGCAGAGGAAAAGAAGAAAAAAUAGGGAGGUGGGCUCUGUAAAUUUUUUAAAAAAGAAAAAGGAAAGGGGUCACCCGAAUAGGUGCUUUAUUUGUUAUUUAUUUCUCCUGUACUAACAUGUUUUGUUUUUGUUUUUGUUUUUUUAUUAUUAUUAUAUAAAUGCAUUGCAUUACCUCAUCAUAGAAAGGAGGUGUUGAUUCAUAUUUGAUUACUAAAUAGAGCAGUUUGUUAUAAGAAAAUGAAUUUCUUGAUAAAGUGGAUUAUAAUGCAGUUGUCUAAAUAUAGUCCAAGUAAACACGAAGAAAGAAGGCUGACAGCCCAUGAAGAAACACACAACUUGGCUUCAUUGCCCGAGGAUUAAAACCGGUAAAGGUUAUGCGAGAGCCAUCACGUCUUGACUUUCUUAAAGAAGCUGACGAUUAUCGCGGGGAUAAGUGAGCAACGAGUCGCAGCCUGGAUCAAGCAAAAAUGAGUUAAUGGGGACAUCUUUCAGAAAAUUCACGAGACUCAACCAUAACAUCAUGAUAUGAAGAGGAAGAUAGGUGUCUUCGCCUGGAAUAUGAGAGAAAGACCGUAUAUGUAGUCCGUUUUAUGUAAAGGAAUUUGUUUUCUAGAAAAGUUGUUCUAAUGAAAUUGAAUUCAGAAUCAAUGUCUUCAUUUCUUUUGCAUUCAUUUCAUGCAUUUACAUUGCAUUGCAUUAUUUACAUUAGACUUUCCUUAAAAGAACCCUAAUUAGGUGAAAUUAUUUCAGUUAACUUGGGAACCGACAAAAGUUAAGCGACUAGACACCUUUACGGUACAAGAAAAAGGAUAAAAGAUAUGGAUCAAAGAUUGGAAAGACUGGAACAACUUCAAAAAGAGAUGCAAGACUAGUUACAACUGCAAAUGCAAGAGCAACUGGCAAAGAUCCAGAAAGAUAUGAGGGACCAGAUACUAGAGUCCCAAAGAAAUAUGAUGAAUCAGUUGUCCCAAUUACUGACUAAGGGACUAGGAAAAGAAAAAAAACUCCAUGAUCAAUGCUGGGGAGGACAAUAAGGAGCCUCUGUACCCUCCAAGUUUCACCCCGAUAAACGAUCAGACAUAUCCGCAAGAUGUACCCAUUGCUAUCAGAUCACAACAACAUCAGACCGGUACCUCGGCACUCAUAAAUUACCUGACGGGCUCAGGUUCCAAUCCAAGGAAUAGUCCAACCAAUCAUGAAGUUCCUAAUUUAGACGAAAUGGCAGGAAUAGAAAAAGCAAAAGUUGAAUUGCCAAGACAAAGAUCGAUACAAGCGGUUGGAAGAAAAACUUAGAGCGACGGAGAAUGCUGAUUACCAUCGCGGGGUUGACGCCAAAGAUCUCAGCUUGGUCCCAGAUUUAGUACUCCAGCCGAAAUUCAAGACUCCGAAAUUCAAGACGCUGUCUUGAAGCUCACAUCAUGAUGUUCUGCCGAAAAAUGACAGGUUAUGUUGAUAAUAAUCAACUGUUAAUUCAUUGCUUCCAAGAUAGUCUGACUGGGUCAGCUGCCAAAUGGUACAACCAACUGAGCCGUGCCAAAAUUCAUUCAUGGAAGGACUUGUCAUAGGCUUUCAUGAAGCAAUACGGCCACGUGACAGACAUGGCACCCGAUAGAAUUACACUGCAUAAUAUGGAAAAGAGACGAAGUGAUAACUUCAGGCAAUAUGCCCAAAGAUGGAGAGAGGUAGCAACACGAGUCCAACCACCUCUUUUGGAGAAAGAAACUUCGAUGCUUUUCGUCAAUACUCUAAAAGCCCCUUCAUUACCCAUAUAUUGGGAAAUGCUACCAUGAGCUUCUCAGAUAUAGUAAUGUCUGGCGAGAUGAUUGAAAACGCAAUCAGGAGUGGGAAGAUAGAUGUGGGAGAAAGCGCUAAAAGGUCAACCCCGAGAAACAGCGAAGAUGAAGUGAACAUCGUGAGCAUACCUUCCAAAUUGCUCAACAUAGGCCAGUCGAGGAUUGUAACAACUAGCUAUCAAAGCUCUUCAAGGCAAGAAUCUAACUCGAGGCCGAAUACAGAAAGGCUCCGGUUUACACCCAUCCCGAUGUCAUAGAAAGAGUUGUAUCAAAAUCUCUUUCAUGUGCAUGUCGUGUCUCCGUUUUACUCAGAACCCGUGCAACCUCCGUUCCCAAAAUGGUAUAAUGAGAAUGCUCAAUGCGAGUACCACGCGAGAAUAACAGGACACUCAAUCGAGAACUGCACUACGUUUAAAAAGUUGGUCGAAAGGUUCAUUGAAAUGGGAGUGGUGAAGUUUAACGAUUCCUCAGAACCAAAUCACUCCGACAAUGUAGUAAACGCGAUUUGCGAUACCUUGAACAAGUUAAAGCCUGGAAGGAAUAUCGAGAAAUCUGAAUGACAUUUUCGAAGAGGGAACCGGGGAAUAAAAGUUUCCAAACCCUUGCAUACUUGGGAGUGUUUUGAAUCAUGAGACUGUGGAGGAGACUCCUGUAUUUUUAGAGCUAAUCUAGAGUAACAUUCAAAACAUGCUUGUUGCUUUAAGCCUCCUGUAUUUUUAGAGCUAAUCUAGAGUAACAUUCAAAACACGCUUGUUGCUUUAAGCCUAGAAGCAACAAGAAUCUUUUCGUGAAAUAGGCUUAUGUCCAAAAUCCUUAUUUCAAUAAAAUGCAUGUUUGUUAUCAUUUUGAGUAAAUAUUCUUUUAUUCUAUCCAUUUCAUAUUGUACAAACAAUUAUUCUUAAAUUCUUUUAUUUUUGUACUUUCUUUCAAAUAUUCUUUUAUUUAUUAUCAUACCAUACAAAUAAUCAUCCUUAGAAUUAUUUUUUCUUUGGAAUUUUCCUACAGCAGGUCCUCAGAUAUCAAUGACAUGAGCAACGUUACUACUGACCCAGAAUCUCCUUUUGAGUGAGAUAUAUGUCUUGAGGGAUCUCAAGACUUGGAAGAUGAUAAAGAUUGUAACAUAUCUCCUGAUUUGUUAAAGAUGGUAGAGUAAGAUGAAAACAGAUCUUACCUUACAAAAAGUCAGUGGACAGUAAGCCUAGGACAAGAGAAAGAGGCAAACAUUGGAGUCUGCAUCACCACAAAGACAAAACAAGACAUCAUCGAGUCAUUCCAAGAAGUCAAAGAUGUUUUCACAUGAUCGCAUCAAGAUAUGCUUGGGUUACUAAGAUGUGAGGAUGCUACAAGGUGUUUGAACAGCAUACGCUAAUAGUUUUAUAAUGCCCAGGCUAAUCAUGAUAUUCGGAUUCUACUGGUCUAACGUAGAAGGGAAUUGCAUCAGUUAUGUCGUAAAUGCUAAAUUUAUGAAGACAAGAUUCAUGUGCCCCUUCAUUUCUUCGUAGACUUUCUCUAUGUAGGGCAUGGAGUUUAUGGGCCGAUCUCUUUGAAAGCUUCUAACCAAUACAGAUUCGUCUUUGGGGUCGUCGAUUACUCAGCAAAAAGGGAGAAAGUUGUUUCAUAUGCUAAUGUCACUAAGUCGACAGUCAUCAAAUUCCAAAAAAAGAUGCCAAAAAAUGCCAGAAAAGAUCAUGUUCAACACAACUGCACAAUGUCAAAAGUUUGCAGUCUGUUCAAAGAUUGGGCGCUAUAUUGCAAAGCCAAAGGCAAAGGCAAAGGCAAAAAAAAAAAAGAACCCAACAACAAACUAAAAAUCAUGGAGCAGAUGACCGAGACUUGUAAAGAUUGUUAUAAAAAGUCACCAUGUUUAUCGAACGACAGUCAGGAUCUUAGCCGGGGUAACAAAUUGCUCAUUGGUUUAUGGAAUAGAAGCGCUCUCGAUGAGAUUACUUUUCUCCGAGUCUUGUCAGAGCUGAAGUUGGAUAAGGCAAAAUGGAUCCAAUCCUAGUAUGAUUAGUUGGAUUUGAAGAAAAGAGGUUGAAAGCCAUCUAUCAUGAGCGAUGUAAGCUUACGAUGAAGAGAUUCAUCCUAGAGAAUUCUAUGAGGGGAACUUGAUAUUCCUAUACAAAAUGACUACAAAAAAGGUGGAUGCCAAACUGAGAAGGACCUUAUGUAAUAAAGAAGGCCUGUUUUAGAGAGGCAUUAAUUUUGACCGAAAUGGAUAGCAAAGAUUUGCCCAAGUUGGUGAAUUCGGAUUUCGUCAAGAAGAAUUUCACCUAGAAAGUGAGAGGCCAAGGCGAAAACUUGCAAAUGGCGCAAAGACCUACAAAAAAAAGGGGGGAAAGAAGAAAAGAAAAGAAAAAGGAGAGGCCAAGGCGAAAACCAACAAAGGGCGCCUUGAGACCAAAGGGGAUUUGAAUUGAAAACGCGAAAAGGGCGGCUCAAAUUUUGAUCAAAGUGGGCCAUACAGUAGUCUUGCUAUGCUUGAAUUAACAAUAAAGGAAUACGCUAUGUCUGGGGGCAUCGACAAAGUACUCCGGAUCCCUUAAACACAUAUUGAGCUUAGAAAGGUCAUCAAGAAGUUGUUACAAAGAAGCUCAAGCUGCGAUAUCUGGGGCACCUAGCUUCCAUUUUGCUUAUUUUGAAUUUGUUAUAUUUGAUUACCUUAUUCUUUUUAAGAUACGUCCCAAUAAACUUUCUUCUUAUUGCAUUGCUAUCUUUGAUUAACUUAUUCAUGUUGAGUUAAUUGCCUUCUUAUUGCAUUUGCAAUCGUUGAUUAAUCUAUUUAUUUUGAGCUACGCUCCUAAUCAAUUUCUUUUUUGUCCAUUGUUUUGAUCUUUUUCAAGCAUUUUGCAUUGAAAUAAUGAUUAAUGGACUAAUAAUACCUUCACAAAAGGGGUUCUGCAUAUUACUCUGGAAGCUUCUAAACAGUAUAGGAACCUGAAACAGGACUAUCAUUUAGAACUCACCAAGCCUAAGGGUUGAAAAUGUUUCUAAAUUGCGACUACCUCUUCGAAUUUUCUGUCAAAAAUAUCAGUUGAAUGAAGAGGCAAUAUAUUUUGUCAAUGAUACAACCUCGACAAAUGACGAGCAAUGUCAACCUAAGUGUAAAAAGGGGUUAUUCUCGAGAAAAGAAAAAUGAUACUCUGCAUCGAUGCAAAUAUCGAGCAUAUAUAGCGGGUCAUUACACCCAGGGGAUGGUGUAACAAAUCAAAUUGAGUGAAGAUGAAACAAAUCCUAUACCCUGAGUUGCAGUGGGUUGGAUAAGCAAAAAACUCUAUAAAGUUUAAGUGGGGCAAGCUUGUCGAGCAGAUUGAGAUUGUUUCUUUGAGUUUUCUAUUAAGAAUACCAGUUAAACAAGACGACAGCAUAAUACGUCAAUGAUAAGGCUCUGAUGAACAACGAGCAAUGUAACCUUAAGCCUUUUAAAAAGGAUCAUUUUCAUUUCUGCAUUCAUAUACCAUUCAUAACACAUCUAGUUAGGAGCAUUUGAUUCAUUUCGAUCAUAGCAUCCUAAUUAUUUGACAUAAGCAUCACAUCUAGUUAAGAACAUUUGAUUCAUGUCGAUCAUAGUAUCUUAAUUAUUUGGCAUAAGCAUAGGCCUAUGAAACUGAUUCUACAGAUCUUGUCUCCCUGAAGUUGCAGUAGAGCAGAUCGAAGACGGCGAAUCUAGUCUUCCUGAAGUUGCAGUGAAACAGAUUUUAGCCACCAUCCUAUCUCCCUAAGUCGUAGUGGAGUAGGCUGAAAAUUGUAGAUCUUGUCUCCCUGAAGUUACAGUGGAGCAAGUCGAAGAUGGCGAAUCCUGCCUUCCUGAAGUUGCAGUGAAGCAGAUUUAAGCCACCAUCCUAUCUCCCUGAGUCGUAGUGGAGUAGGCUAAAGAUUGUAGACCUUGUCUCCCUGAAGUUGCAGUAGAGUAGAUUGAAGAUGGCGAAUCUAGUCUUCCUGAAGUUGCAGUGAAGCAGAUUUAAGCCACCAUCCUAGCUCCCUAAAGUUGUAGUGGAGUAGACUGAAAAUUGUAGACCUUGUCUCCCUGAAGUUACAGUGGAGCAGAUCGAAGACGGCGAAUCUAGUCUUCCUGAAGUUGCAGAGAAGCAGAUUUAAACCACCAUCCUAUCUCUCUAAAAUUGUAGCGGAGUAGGCUAAAAAUUGUAGAUCUUGUCUCCCUGAAGUUGAGUGGAGCAGAUCAAAGACAGCGAAUCUUGUCUUCCUGAAGUUGCAGUGAAGCAGAUUUAAGCCACCAUCCUAGCUCCCUAAAGUUGUAGUGGAGUAGACUGAAAAUUGUAGACCUUCUCUCCCUAAAGUUGCAGUGGAGUGAUCGAAGACGGUGAAUCUAGUCUUCCUAAAGUUGCAGUGAAGCAGAUUUAAACCACCAUCCUAUCUCUCUAAAAUUGUAGUAGAGUAGGCUAAAAAUUGUAGAUCUUGUCUCCCUGAAGUUGCAGUGGAGCAGAUCAAAGACAGCGAAUCUUGUCUUCUUGAAGUUGCAGUGAAGCAGAUUUAAGCCACCAUCCUAUCUCCCUAAGUUGUAGUGGAAUAGUUUAAAAAAUUAUAGAUCCUGUCUCUCUGAAGUUGCAGUAGAGCAGAUCAAAACACACAUUACUUCCCUGAAGUUGCAGUGGAGCAAACUAAAAUCACAAAUCCCAUAUCACCCUAAAGUCCCAAAGAAGCAGAUUGAAGCUACAAGUCCAAUCUCUCUAAAGUGGUGAUGAAGUGGUCAAAGCAACAAGAGGCGGAGGACUGGAAUGAGGCUACCUGAAGAAAAGAGGCGCUAAGAGAAGUCGAGACUCGGCAGGUCCAAGCAAAUUUGGCCCUUUUAAAGUCUUUGCUCCAUUCUCGUUACACGACAAUGAGCAAAGAGGGGCAGCUGUACAGGCCCAAAUUUGCCCGGCCCAAUUGAUGAAAUUGAACCCAAUCUUAAAAAUCACCCAAACCCAAACUAAACCUAGCCCAAAAGCCCAUAACUUUAACUUUCAGCAAAAAAUAAAAAAGAAACCCUAGCCUAAGAGCUACCGCCGCUCCUCCUAGGGUGCACCACCCGCGCUUUGUCCCGAGGCUUGACUCCUCUGCUCCAUCCCAUCACCCUUUCAAAGCCUGCAAAGAGAGCAAAAAAGAAACGAAAGUAGCAGCCAUAACAGAGGCUGAAACAGUGAUAGAACAGUAGCAAGGACAAGAGCAUACAUAGAGCAGAACCUAGACAUAAACAGUAACGAGGAAUAAUAUUGUAUUGUUAUUUUUCGGCUAUAAAGCCACUGAAAAACGGAUGUAAAAAAGGAGGGAUUCAAAAAAUAUACGGAAAUCAAUCAAAAACGAAAAUUUCAAAAGGUUAUCUUUUGCUCUUAGUUUGGUUUCAAUUUCUGUUUUCAUAUUUUUUUUUCUUUUUAUUAUUACAUUCGAAAAUCAAAAAGAAAAA